rnacentral:tRNA from 1 species
GGCCCGGUAGCUCAGUUGGUAGAGCACUUGACUUUUAAUCAAGGUGUCCGGAGUUCGAGACUCCGCCGGGUCACCA